rnacentral:rRNA from 1 species
GCUAGCAACAAUAUUACCCUUGAGUAAUCUGAUACCAUCUGAUUUUGGAAGCUAAGCAGAGUUGGAGCUAUCUAGUACUUGAAUGGGAGACCAGGGAUCUCCAGGCAGGGAAAGAA